GUGCUCGCUUCGGCAGCACAUAUACUAAAAUAGGAACGAUACAGAGAUUAGCAUGGGCCCUGUGCAAGGAUGACACAGAUUCGUGAAGCGUUCCAUAUUUUU